AACCAAAUCACAAUGAAAACCCUGAUGUUUCUGAAUUUGGUCAAAAGGAUUCUAACCAUAAGCCUAUAAAAAAUGGAAUGACUUAUAUAUAAUUAUGACAGGACUGUAUAAAGCUGUUGUUUUACAUGAUGAUGAAAGCAAAGCUGACAAACUAUCUGCUAAUCACAACGUAGAACCUCCUCCAAAUGCUAUUCUCUGCAUCUCAAAGCCAUGCCAAUUCUACAAUGCUUCCAGCCGCCGUAGCCCGAAAUUCAGGUUGGAGUAUUUCUUCUACAACGCCACCUGAGACCGAUGAUGAAGCAUGAGUUAAAAUUUCGCAAACUCAUAAAAGCGAGCUUUGUGCUGCAAGUAGUGGAGUGUCUCUCCGCCACCCGAGGUCAAUGCUUCCAUGAUCAUCAACUGGUCCCUUCAGAAAUUUCUGCAUAAUAAAUCAUGUUAAAAUAUGUGGCAUCACUAAGUUCUUUCUAUUCAGAGAGUGGAGCUUUUGAUUCUGUCAACACUGAAAUGGAAGACGCAUCCUGUGACACCACACUCUUUCCUAGAUCAUAUAAUAACAAGGCUUGGUUUGAAAACUAACCUUCAUUGGGAGUUUUUAAGAUGCUGUGAGAACCUUCUUCCAUCUGUACUUUUAGAUUCAAGAUUUGUUGGUUGUGUUCCUUCUGUGUUGGUUACUGCUACAAUGCUGCAUGUGAUAGACCAGACUGAAGAGAGUGAUGAUAAUGGUGUGGACUACAAAAAUCAGCUUCUUAGUAUUCUCAAAAUCAACAAGGAGAAAGUGGAUGAAUGUUAUAAUGCUAUUGUUGAGGUUACCAAUGAAAAUAAUUAUGGUCAUAAACGAAAAUAUGAACAAAUCCAUGGAAGUGCAAGUGGUGUAAUUGAUGCUGUUUUUAGUUCUGAUGGUUCCAUUGAUUCAUGGAAAGUAGGUUCAUCCUCGUAUUCAACCUCAGAGCCUAUUUUUAAGAAAACAAAAACUCAAAGGCAAAAUAGGAAUUUGUCACCUCUUAAUAGGGCCAUUGUUGGAAUUCUUGCCACUGCAGCUACUAACCAUCCAAACCCAUUAAUGUCUGCAACUGCAACAGGAAAUUCAGUUCGGCCAUCCAGCCAGGAAAACCUUUCUUCUACUGAGACAAAAUAAUAUAAAGUAGAUAUGGAAAAAUUUCAAAUGGAUCAUCUUCUACCAUUUAGACAAUUCAAUUCUUUUAAAAGUGAAGUGUUGGUUAGGACUAACUUCAAUUGACAAGUAAUGGGAAUCAAGACCAGUUAGUGCAUUGGAAGAUAAUCUUUUGUAAGAAGCAGAUAGAGAUCAGAAGGUAGAAUUAUACUAUUACAUUAAGAUUGUAGAGCAAUUGGUUUCCUAAAAUUUUUGAGGUGUUUAAUUUGCAACCAGUAAAUCUUUGUGCAAAAUGUAUGCUUGCAGUCCAGAAAUAUGUAACAUCAGCCAAAACAAUCCAACACAACAGUUGUGUAAUAAACCAUAACACCAGCAGAUUCCCUAAUCAUCCCUAACCGUUCCCGAAACAACAUUUCAACAGAAGCUUGUAACAGUAAAAUAAAACAAGGUCGCUAAUGUUAAUACCCAGCUGCUAAACGCAAGCAAAGCCGCAAUGCCGGCCAUGGAACCCAAGACUGCUGCAACACAAACGCCCAAAAUCAGUUUAAUUCCGAAAAAGAGAAAACACAUAUUCUAAUCUAUUUGAGUUCUUGAAGCAAAUUCACAAAGGUAAUUUAAUUAUUACCAAUAGUAAAUGGAUUUGGUUGAGAAGAAGAAGGGGACCACUAAGCUGGGAUAAGGACAAAAAUCUCCAAGCACCCUUCGUACGAACAAGCUCCACUACACAUCAGGAAACACAUCAGAGGAAAGAGAUUAGUCACAUAUAAAAGGGAAAUUACUAUUCACAAAAACCCUAGAAUUGAACGGCCACUAUUCAUAAAAAGAAGAAACAGAACAAACCCUAGGAUUGGAUUCGACGACAAGGAGACGGAAACGAAAGGACCUUAACGAAAAAAGAAAAGGAGAAACGGCGAAACCCCAAAGGGAAUCCGAGAACGACUCAAAGGAUAAACCAAAGCAAUAGUGAGGAAAAGCAUUCCCUACAUUUUCGUCGAUCAAUCCAAGUUGCAACCGGUUAGUUCCAUCUUUGAUCUAUUUCACCUUUGAUAUAGCUUCAUGAUUGUUUUCCUUGCAUGUUCGCAUUAUUGUCAUGUUGCUGAAUUUAUGUUGUUGUUCGAAAAUGAAUUUGAUCGUUGAGCAAGAGAAAUAAGUGUUUCAAGCAGAGAGAGAGAGUGAGUUUGAGGCGAAGGUGAACGUUUUGUUUUCACUGUUUGCUGGUGUUUAUUUGAAUCCUAUCUUGAGAAGGCUUUAAAACCAUUAAUGGCGAUGCCUUUCCCACUGCCCAAAGCCGGCUGUUUCGUUUGACUCUUUCUCUGCAUUAUUGCUUUUCCAAGUUUCCAUGUGACCGUUGGUUUGGGGAAUGUCUUCAUUUCCCCACGUGUUCCCUUGCAGCAGGCGGCUAUUUUUCUUUUUGUUUGUCUUCCCGUGGUAUUCCCAUGUUGGGCCAGGAAAUGGAAUUAGGUUUCAGUCAAUCCGGGCCCAAUGACCCAUGUUUGUUUAUUGUUUUGUUGACUAGAGGUUUGCCAUUCUGUUUAUGUACAUUUAUUGGUCCUAGCCUAAUAAGCAAGUCAUUCGUGGCCAGGUGGAGAUGGAGUUGGUUUUUUUCUCCCUAGGUAGUGGAUUCGAUACCCAUAUGCAACAUUUUGUUUCUUUUAGCAUUCAAAUUUUCAUGUUUAUGUUAAUUUAAAUUCUCCUAUACUCAUUUGUUAAUAUUUACCCCUUUUAUUUAUUUUAAUUGACAAAGCAUUAAUUUUAAUUUAUGGAUUCAACUACUCUCAUGUUGUUUAUCCAUGAUUAUUUUAUCGAGAUAACAAUAGAAUUUUGA
rnacentral:lncRNA from 1 species